GACGAACGCUGGCGGCGUGCUUAACACAUGCAAGUCGAACGGUGAACUCCGCUUGCGGGGGGGUCAGUGGCGAACGGGUGAGUAACACGUGGGCAACCUGCCCUCAGCUCUGGGAUAACUCCAAGAAAUUGGGGCUAAUACCGGAUAUGACCGCUGACCGCAUGGUCUGGUGGUGGAAAGAUUUAUCGGCUGGGGAUGGGCCCGCGGCCUAUCAGCUUGUUGGUGGGGUAGUGGCCUACCAAGGCGACGACGGGUAGCCGGCCUGAGAGGGUGACCGGCCACACUGGGACUGAGACACGGCCCAGACUCCUACGGGAGGCAGCAGUGGGGAAUAUUGCGCAAUGGGCGAAAGCCUGACGCAGCGACGCCGCGUGGGGGAUGACGGCCUUCGGGUUGUAAACCUCUUUCAGCAGGGACGAAGCGAAAGUGACGGUACCUGCAGAAGAAGCACCGGCCAACUACGUG
rnacentral:rRNA from 1 species